CCCUUAGAUGUUCUGGGCUGCACGCGCGCUACACUGAAGCGUUCAACGAGUAUUCACCUUGCCCGGGAGGGUUGGGUAAUCUUUUGAAAACGCUUCGUGAUGGGGAUAGAUUAUUGCAAUUAUUAAUCUUCAACGAGGAAUUCCUAGUAAGCGCGAGUCAUCAGCUCGUGCUGAUUACGUCCCUGCCCUUUGUACACACCGCCCGUCACUCCUACCGAUUGAGUGAUCCGGUGAAUAAUUCGGACUGCAGCACUGCUUGGUCUCCAGGCUUUGCAGCGGAAAGUUUAGUGAACCUUAUCACUUAGAGGAAGGAGAANUCGUANCA
rnacentral:rRNA from 1 species